CCCGGUGGCCGCCUGACCCCCCAGGUCGCGCCGCCGCUGCUUUUUGCCUGACAGUCUUCUUGCCAGAGGCCUUCACACCUCGUAUGAAGA
rnacentral:tRNA from 1 species